UGAGGAAUAUUGGUCAAUGGACGCAAGUCUGAACCAGCCAAGUAGCGUGCAGGAUGACGGCCCUAUGGGUUGUAAACUGCUUUUAUAUGGGGAUAAAGUGGGGAACGUGUUCCCUUUUGCAGGUACCAUAUGUAUAAGGACCGGCUAAUUCCGUGCCAGCAGCCGCGGUAAUACGGAAGGUUCGGGCGUUAUCCGGAUUUAUUGGGUUUAAAGGGAGCGUAGGCCGUUUGGUAAGCGUGUUGUGAAAUGUAGGAGCUCAACUUCUAGAUUGCAGCGCGAACUGUCAGACUUGAGUGCGCACAACGUAGGCGGAAUUCAUGGUGUAGCGGUGAAAUGCUUAGAUAUCAUGAAGAACUCCGAUUGCGAAGGCAGCUUACGGGAGCGCAACUGACGCUGAAGCUCGAAGGUGCGGGUAUCGAACAGG
rnacentral:rRNA from 1 species